rnacentral:rRNA from 1 species
UAUUUAUAGUCUAGCCUGCUCACUGACAAAAAGUGUUAAAUAGCCGCGGUAUUUUGACCGUGCAAAGGUAGCAUAAUCAUUAGUUUUUUAAUUGGAAACUUGUAUGAAUGGUUGGACAAAGAAAAGACUGUCUCUUUUAUUAAAAUUGAAAUUAACUUCUAAGUGAAAAGGCUUAGAUUUUCUAGAGGGACGAUAAGACCCUAUAAAGCUUCAUAAGUUAAAUAAAUUAGAUGGAUUUUUAGAAUAAAAGUAAAUUUAGUAAGCUUAUUUAGUUGGGGCGACAAGGGUAUAAAAUUAAAUAACUGCUAUUAAGGUUAGACAAUUAUAUUUGGUUGGAUUGUAAUUGAUCCUCGCUAUGGAUUAAAAGAUUAAGUUACUUUAGGGAUAACAGCGUAAUUUCUUUUAAGAGUUCUUAUCAAAGGAGAAGUUUGCGACCUCGAUGUUGAAUUAAAAUGUCUUUAUAGUGCAGAAGCUAUAAAGGAAGGUCUGUUCGACCUUUAAUUUUUUACAUGAUUUGAGU